rnacentral:ncRNA from 2 species
GGCAGUGACACGGGGUGCCGCCCCACCCGCCGAGCGGGAUGAAGCGGCUGAGAUCACACCCGUCGAACCUGAUCUAGUUCGGACUAGCGAAGGGAUGUCGCCAUGCGCGCAC